GACGAACGCUGGCGGCGUGCUUAACACAUGCCAGUCGAACGGUGAAGCUCCAGCUUGCUGGUGUGGAUCAGUGGCGAACGGGUGAGUAACACGUGAGCAACCUGCCCCUGACUCUGGUAUAAGCGCUGGAAACGGCGUCUAAUACUGGAUACGAGAAGGGUCCGCAUGGGCACUUUCUGGAAAGUUUUUCGGUUGGGGAUGGGCUCGCGGCUUAUCAGCUUGUUGGUGAGGUAAUGGCUCACCAAGGCGACGACGGGUAGCCGGCCUGAGAGGGCGACCGGCCACACUGGGACUGAGACACGGCCCAGACUCCUACGGGAGGCAGCAGUGGGGAAUAUUGCACAAUGGGCGAAAGCCUGAUGCAGCGACGCCGCGUGAGGGAUGACGGCCUUCGGGUUGUAAACCUCUUUCAGCAGGGAAGAAGCGAAAGUGACGGUACCUGCAGAAGAAGCACCGGCUAACUACGUG
rnacentral:rRNA from 1 species